GUCUACAGCCAUACCACCAUGAACGUGCCUGAUAUUGUCUGAUCUUGGAAGCUAAGUAGGGUCGGGGCUGGUUAGUACUUGGAUGGAGAAAUAAGAAUAUAUACUCCCUGCUUAGACA
rnacentral:rRNA from 1 species